UGUGCUCCUUUCAUCUCUCUCUCC
rnacentral:siRNA from 1 species